AUGGUAUCAUCAUCACUGAACCUGCAUGGUUUCUGUAGCAGAACUAAAAUAAAAUUUUACCCAAAUAAAUGUGAACAUUGGGACAUUUAUACAACAAAAACUGAAUCUAAUACCAAUAUUGAACUUGCAGGUUCCAUACAUAAGCUAGCUACCAACGUCAAAUUUACAGAUCCUAAAAUCAAUCACCACCACAAGAAGACAAUAAAGUUCUCCAAAUGGUUGCUCGAGGAAGAGCUAGCUGCUGAAUCCGACUACAUUUACCGCUGGGAGCAGCCAACCACUAGUGCACAAGAGAUAUUUCUCGCACCUGAGAAUCAAACCAAACUUUGA
rnacentral:rRNA from 1 species